UGGAUGAAGAGGACAUGUCUUUUACCUUUGCUCAUGUAUCACUUUUACAUGGGAUCGGGGGUCCGAACAACAUUCAGAGAGGCUGGUUGGCCAACAUGGUUGACUUCACAGGAAGAAGAUCUGGAAAGCAAAGUCUUCCUGUUCUGAAUAAAGGAUCCACCCUGUUUCCAGGCCUGGAAACUGCCAUCAGAUCCUGACUUUCAGUCUGCAGUGUUAUCACACGGUGUUUCAUUAGACAGAGAAUGCUGGUGCUGAAGGCCUGAAGGCCAUUAGAUGAAGUAAACCAUUCUUGUGGCAGAUCAGCACCAGAUGAAAGCCUUCCAGAGAGUAAUAACUCAGCACUSAGAAGGGUUUAAAAUAUCUUUAUCAUUCUCACGUUGUUCUUGUUGUUCUCCCUCCCCCUCUGCUUUCUCCCUUCAUCCUUGUUGAAAAGUGGUUUAGUUCAACUUCAAAUGUCACUUUACAGCAGGAGGGAGGGCAGCUUCAGUGUGGAAACUGAUGUGAAGGAACACGAGAAACAAGACGUCAGAUAAAAGGCACACAUUUGGUCCAAACUUCAGAAGAGUCACAGCUCUCUGCUGUGACAUUUCUAACCUGAAACCAGCUUCACAGACAUCAUUUCUGACCACAGGUUUGAUGUUUCUUCAGCAGUGGUGGAARUUCUGCCUGAGCUGAGGAGCUUUUUAACAAGUUAGAGCUGAGCUGUAAGGUGAGGCUCCUGCUGAAGGAGACGGUCUUAUGGAUGUUUUUAUUUAACCUGCUUUGGCCAAAGAGGGAAAACAUGAAGCAGAGGAAACAUUUCUAAACUCCUCCAAAUGUUCACAACGAAUCAAACCAAAAGCCACAAGAGCCUGCCUCAGCUACCAUUCUGAAAUAAUCUUUAAAGUGCUGUUUGAUGGCAUUCUGCCACAUCUGGAGUCAAUUUACUAAACAUCCUACAUUUAAAUUGUUUUCCUGCAUGGCACAGCCUGGUUUUAUAAUGGUUUUAUCAUUUUGCCUAUAUGUUGUCUUAAAUCUAUUACUUGUUUGGCUUUUUAAAACUACUGAUUUUUAAUAUUUGUUUCUUUUUUAAAUCUUAGCUGAUGCUCCACAGAGAUGUACCACAGAAUCUGUUUCACCUGACGAUGUGACAGUGGAGUUUGAAGAAGCCACCUUUACUAGUGGAUUAGGUGAGAGAUCUUAAUUAUUCAUUUAUGUUGUAUUGCCUGUGAUGACUGAUCCAGUGUGUGGUAGAGUUACACAACCUUUCAUUUAGUCCUUUCCUGAUCCCUCAUCCUUUUACAUCUUGUGUGUUUCAUGUAAUACAGAGUUAUAGUCUUAGAAGUACUUUGAGGAUACUUCUGGAUGGAUUUGUGUUCA